rnacentral:rRNA from 1 species
CAAUAGCGUAUAUUAAAGUUGUUGCAGUUAAAAAGCUCGUAGUCGGAUUUCUGUGAGAGUGCCGGUGUCGGCUGAUGCUUGUACGCAGGCGCUCUUACAUCCUUCUGUUAACUGUUCUUGGCAUUUUAUUGCUGGUUCAGGGCUCAGAUAUUUUACCUUGAGAAAAUUAGAGUGUUUCAGGCAGGCUUAUGCCGGAAUACAUUAGCAUGGAAUAAUGGAACAGGACCUGUGCGUCUCUCGGGGCGCCGGUCUCCGUUGUUGGUUUCGGGGACUAAUGUAAUGAUUAAUAGGGAUAGUUGGGGGCAUUAGUAUUUAAUAGUCAGAGGUGAAAUUCUCGGAUUUGUUAAAGACUAACUUAUGCGAAAGCAUUUGCCAAGGAUGUUUUCAUUAA